UACCAGCACCCCGAGUGGUCGGGACGAUUAUUGGGCCUAAAGCAUCCGUAGCCGGUCAUGCAAGUCCUCCGUUAAAUCCAGCCGCUCAACGGUUGGGCUGCGGAGGAUACUACGUGGCUAGGAGGCGGGAGAGGCAAGCGGUACUCAGUGGGUAGGGGUAAAAUCCGUUGAUCCAUUGAAGACCACCAGUGGCGAAGGCGGCUUGCCAGAAUGCGCUCGACGGUGAGGGAUGAAAGCUGGGGAGGCAACCGGG
rnacentral:rRNA from 1 species